UUUUACGGAUGAGCAAAGAAAGUAGUUUCUUGAGAUAAAUUCUACUCCUGGUGAAGAUGCUGUAAA
rnacentral:pre_miRNA from 1 species